GACGAACGCUGGCGGCGUGCUUAACACAUGCAAGUCGAACGGGAUUUAGUAGACAGAAGCCUCGGCUAAAGAUUACUAAUGAGAGUGGCGAACGGGUGAGUAACGCGUGAGCAACCUGCCUAUGACAGUGGGAUAGCCUCGGGAAACCGGGAUUAAUACCGCAUAAAAUCGUAGAAACACAUGUUUUAACGGUCAAAGAUUUAUCGGUCAUAGAUGGGCUCGCGUCUGAUUAGCUAGUUGGUGAGAUAACAGCCCACCAAGGCGACGAUCAGUAGCCGGUCUGAGAGGAUGAACGGCCACAUUGGAACUGAGACACGGUCCAAACUCCUACGGGAGGCAGCAGUGGGGAAUAUUGCACAAUGGGGGAAACCCUGAUGCAGCGACGCCGCGUGAACGAAGAAGGUAUUCGUAUCGUAAAGUUCUGUACUAUGGGAAGAUAAUGACAGUACCAUAGAAGAAAGCUCCGGCUAAAUACGUG
rnacentral:rRNA from 1 species